ensembl:snRNA U1 U1 spliceosomal RNA
AGAAAUACCUGGCAGGGGAGAUACUAUGAUCAUGAAGUGGCUUCCCAAGGGUGAGGCUUAUCCAUCGCACUGCGGAGAGGGUGACCUCUGAGAUUUUCUUAAAUGUGGGAAACUCGACUGCUUAAUUUGUGGUAGUGGGGGCUACUUAUGUGUUUUCCCCUU